rnacentral:rRNA from 1 species
UAUUACCGCGGCUGCUGGCACGAAGUUAGCCGGUGCUUAUUCUGUCGGUAACGUCAAAACAGCAAGGUAUUAACUUACUGCCCUUCCUCCCAACUUAAAGUGCUUUACAAUCCGAAGACCUUCUUCACACACGCGGCAUGGCUGGAUCAGGCUUUCGCCCAUUGUCCAAUAUUCCCCACUGCUGCCUCCCGUAGGAGU